UUCUCAAUGAUUUCUUUCUGUUCAGCGUCAAAAGCAGACCAUCUUUCAUCUGAUCCAGCAAUAUCACCGGUCCCCACAUCUUGACAUAAAAGAACGGAUUUGUCACCGUAGCAUUUUAGUGUCCAAUACACUUUACCAUCAGUGCCUGAAAAGAAAGACUCCGUCCUAACAGCUUCAGAUCUUUUAUUACACUUGGAGUAGGUGUUCUUUGACUCCACCAAAGAAACAUGAGCUUCUGCUAAUUCACGUUUAAUUUCAGAAAAAAUUGCUUCAUGUUCUGAUAAUGAG
rnacentral:misc_RNA from 1 species